rnacentral:rRNA from 1 species
UCGAGAAUCUUCGGCAAUGGGCGAAAGCCUGACCGAGCGAUGCCGCGUGCGGGAUGAAGGCCUUCGGGUUGUAAACCGCUGUCGUAGGGGAGAAAGGGUCGUUGAAGAAACGACUUUGAUCUAUCCUAGGAGGAAGUCCGGGCUAAGUUCGUGCCAGCAGCCGCGGUAACACGAACCGGACAAACGUUAUUCGGAAUUACUGGGCUUAAAGGGUGCGUAGGCGGUGCGGUAAGUGCGGUGUGAAAUCCCACGGCUCAACCGUGGAAUUGCGCUGCAUACUGCCGUGCUAGAGGGAGACAGGGGUAAGCGGAACUGAUGGUGGAGCGGUGAAAUGCGUUGAUAUCAUCAGGAACACCGGUGGCGAAAGCGGCUUACUGGGUCUCUUCUGACGCUGAGGCACGAAAGCUAGGGUAGCGAACGGGAUUAGAUACCCAUGUAGUCCCUGAGCGGGCUGGCAAGGCGCAU